UUACCAACUUGACAUGACUUAAUUCCUUCGGCACAGGUGGUGCAUGGUUGUCGUCAGCUCGUGUCGUGAGAUGUUGGGUUAAGUCCCGCAACGAGCGCAACCCUACUUUAGUAGCCAGCAUAUGGGACUCUAGGGGACUGCCGCGGACAAGCGGAGGAAGGUGGGGAUGACGUCAAAUCAUCAUGCCCCUUAUGUUGGGCUACACACGUGCUACAAUGGGUUACAAGGGGCACGGUGACGGGAGCAACCCCAAAAGCAUCCCAGUUCGGAUUGUAGUCCGCAACUCGACUACAUGAAGUUGGAAUCGCUAGUAAUCGCGAUCAGAUGCGCGGUGAAUACGUUCCCGGGCCUUGUACACACCGCCCGUCACACCACGGAAGUUGGGGACCAAC
rnacentral:rRNA from 1 species